CGAGCUGCUCAACAUGCGUGUUGUAUUGAAUAUAGAGGGAUAUCCCGUGUGUAUUAUUUCUGACCUUUUUCGGGUUACGCUACCAUCGUGUUUCAAGGUUGAGCUAACUGGAGCUGCUAAGUGAAUGCUAAGCACCAUCGCUACCAAUUACGUCGAAUAAUGAAGCUGUCAUGGUGGAGCGGGCCGUCAUGAAAAGUGAAUUCAAAGCGAACACGGGCGCCAUUUCGGAAGCAGCAAGGCUAGAAGAUGAAACUGGAAUGUGUGGUGCUCAAGACGACUUUUACGAGCAAAACUUGUUUGGCGUCGGACCAGAUUAACCAGACUGGCGAAACUAGACAAGCAAAGACACGCUCAUCGCGAAUCUAUUUGCACAGCCAGACAAUCGCAGUCAGGCAGCCCACGACGUGCCCUCGGUGGGCACGCCUGCAGAUGUAAACACACCCAGGUCGAGGUUGAGGGCAAAUAUUUCAUUUGCGGUUGCAAGAAUUUAUGGCCAUGGAGUGAGGCUGAUAUGAAGACCAAAUUCAUAGAGCACAUUAUGACCAAAUGGAAAUAUUUGAGUUAAAAAAAAAAUUCCCGACAUUAUUUUCAACACUUGUCCCCAUUGGAACCAUUCACAUUUGUUGUUUUACGAACAAACGACAGAUUGUUCUAUAAACAAAGAUGAGUUGAGAUAGAUUAAAAAUACAUGAAAACCAGAAAUGACAAUUUAUUGUGGAGGGUUAGCUGCUGUCUAAAAUUAAAAAAAAGUAAGAUAAAAACAAAAUGGAAAAAGUUGCCAUUCAAAAAGUCACAACUACAACUUCGCUUUUAUUCUUUCAGUUGUUUUUGCCCCUGAAUGAAAACUACAAAAAAGCAGCUGCGUCACUCUCUCUUCCGGAUACACAACGAUUGGCCACCUCUCCUCUGUCUACGCUCCAUGUGAUUGGCAGCCUGCCUCUCGUGAGGGUCACGUCACAUUUUAACCACGCCCCCGAACACACCGUAUGUCCCCGAGUACAGUCUGUCGUAAGAGAACAACAGAGAGUGGAGCAGAACGGAUCCACGGUAACAACGCUCACAAGCUGUGACUCCUCACGUAGGAAAUUUAACAAAACACGCCGGGACAAGUGCAGCGUGGCUGUCAAAAACAGGAGUGUGUCUGGAUUUGGGGCUUCUCUUUGUUUCCCUUGGGUUGCCAUGGCUCUUAUCAACUUGGACUGUUUCGACAUCCUGAAGAAUGUUCGGCCUUCCUUUGCACUUUGUGUACUCUUUGUGUAAGUAUCUGCUGAGUGGAGAGCAUCAAAGAUUAGUGACAUGUGAUAUCACAACAUAGCAUAGCCCCCCCCCCUCCAAGCAUGUACAAGCAAGUACCUUUGGCCUGUUUUUUUUUUCUUGCCAAGCAUGAAGUCAGGCUGUCAAUAUUUAAUAACCCAGCCACCCGAUAGCCUGUUCGUCUCCAACUUUUGUCCGCGCGCGCACUAACACGCCCAGCUUGUCUUGUCUCGCAUGAGAUUAGCACAUGGAUAUUUCAUGGCGUCUUCAAACGCAUUUUGCAUUUUUAAUCUUACCCCCCAGGGCACCGGCAAUCUCGUGUUUGGAGAAAUUUUUGAUGAACAAAUAUUCUUCUAUGAACGUGUGUCUAUGGAUUACAAAUGGUUGUUUUUUUUUUCUCAGUGGAUUGGAUGGAGUUGCACAAAGAAGACUUUCACAACUCCCAUGUGCAAGUUUCACCCCGCUAUACAUUUGUACUGCAUUGCGUAAUGACGCAGACGGGCCAGAAAUGCUGCUCAACUUGGUUUUGGGAACUGUCAUUACAGGAAACAAAAAAAAAACAAAAAACGCCCACAGAAGUUUUUUUAAAAUCCCCGGAAAUUUUAUUCCCAACCCCAAAUAGUUCAUCGUCGCGCUCAAGUGAGAAAAGCAGAAGCACUUUCUUUUUGACUGUAAUCACACCGAGCCGCGCUCAGAUGUGUCGCCGUUUCAUGUUGUAAAAAAGACAGCGCCGAUGUCUUAAUAUAGAACAUAGCUUUCGGCUCCCUUGUCAUCAGGGCACACUAUUUUUAUCGCCGUGUGACCACUGACCACAUUUGAAUUACCACCCAGUGGCUUUGGCAAAGGAAAAAAAAGUAAAAUAAUAA